UGACACAGGGAGGUAGUGACAAGAAAUAACAAUACAGGGCGAAUGUCUUGUAAUUGGAAUGAUGGUGACCCAAACCCUCACCAGAGUAGCAAUUGGAGGGCAAGUCUGGUGCCAGCAGCCGCGGUAAUUCCAGCUCCAAUAGCGUAUAUUAAACUUGUUGCAGUUAAAAAGCUCGUAGUUGUAUUUUUGCGUUGACGGUUUGACCAUUUGGUUGGUUAUUUCGUUUUCGCUUUUGGGAAUUUCCCUUUUUACUUUGAGAAAAUUAGAGUGUUUCAAGCAGACUUUUGUCUUGAAUACUUCAGCAUGGAAUAAUAGAGUAGGACUUUGGUUCUAUUUUGUUGGUUAUUGAACCUUAGUAAUGGUUAAUAGGAACGGUUGGGGGCAUUCGUAUUUAACUGUCAGAGGUGAAAUUCUUA
rnacentral:rRNA from 1 species